rnacentral:tRNA from 1 species
UGGUUUUUGUUUUUUUAUAUUAUAGCACCUCCCUUCUAAGGAGGCGGUCAAAGGUUCGAAUCCUUUAGGGCUCACCA